rnacentral:rRNA from 1 species
UACGUAGGGUCCGAGCGUUGUCCGGAAUUAUUGGGCGUAAAGAGCUCGUAGGCGGUUUGUCGCGUCUGCUGUGAAAUCCCGAGGCUCAACCUCGGGCCUGCAGUGGGUACGGGCAGACUGGAGUGCGGUAGGGGAGAAUGGAAUUCCUGGUGUAGCGGUGGAAUGCGCAGAUAUCAGGAGGAACACCGGUGGCGAAGGCGGGUCUCUGGGCUGAUACUGACGCUGAGGAGCGAAAGCGUGGGGAGCGAACAGG